GCCGGCGUAGCUCAGUCGGUAGAGCGGCGCACUCGUAAUGCGCAGGUCAGGGGUUCGACUCCCCUCGCCGGCUCCA
rnacentral:tRNA from 1 species